AACUUUCAGCAAUGGAUCUCUUGGCUCUGGCAUCGAUGAAGAACGCAGCGAAAUGCGAUAAGUAAUGUGAAUUGCAGAAUCCAGUGAAUCAUCGAAUCUUUGAACGCACAUUGCGCCCGCCAGUACUCUGGCGGGCAUGCCUGUCCGAGCGUCAUUUCAACCCUCGAGCACUGCUCGGCGUUGGGGGCCUACAGCCGGUAGCCCCCUAAAACCACCGGCGACGUCGCCCGCGGCUCCUUGCGUAGUAAGUCUUUCGCACUGGAACGCGGCGGCGCUGGCCGCUAAAUCGCCCUAUAGGGCACACAGAACGGUUGACCUCGGAUCAGGUAGGAAUACCCGCUGAACUUAAGCAUAUCAAUAAGCGGAGGCU
rnacentral:misc_RNA from 1 species